UGGGGGAUGGAGAAGGGCGCAGGAUUUGACAGACACACAAAAAUGCAGUUAAAACCCGUCCGUGGGGGACUGAAAGUGGGUGGCUGGAACAAAAGACAAAAGUGUGACAAAUAUAAACAGGGGUAUAAAUAAAAUGGUUAAGUGCAGGAUGGCUGCCUGGCUGACUGGUUGGCAGGGGGAUAUAAUAAAAUGUGGUAAUUGUAAAUAAGUGGAAAAUGAGUGCCGAGCAGAGGCGGGGGAGGGCGAUGGGGAAAUUGUGCUGCUGCGCUGUGCUAUGCUGUGUCUAUUGCAUUUGGCGGGAUAACAUUUUAAAUUCAAAUUAAACGACCGGCAAAGCCACAAAGGGAUUGACAUGAAGUUAGUGCCACCAACCAGUGUAGCAACAAAAGGGAGCAAAAAGGCGACAACUUGACUAAGGGCGACCACAGCUCUAGUUGGCAGCUGUCGUUGUUGCACCAGCAUUUACCCAUCCAUUGUUUUGUUUGAGCUUGACAUUUGCAUGCUAAAUACAAAAAAUAAGGGGGGAGUUGCAAAGUUCGAGCUGAAAAUGAAAUAUGUACUGGGCUUCUCAGCAUUCAAUUAAUUUCCAAAUAAUUUGCAAAUGAGCAGAGGAGCGAAAAAAAGAACAAUAAAUUUCAAUAUUAAGAGAGCCAUCAUUGUUUUGAUGCCGAUUCCCUGAGGGUGCAUUUUGCCAAAUUAGUUUUCUCUCUUGAUACUUCAUGUAUAUAAAUUGGAAAGUCAGGCGAUUAAAUCUGAAUCGCAGGGCAAUUAAAAACGUAUAAUGUCGAAUUGGGGUCACCUUUUGAACAUUUAAACUGUUUAUGGGCGGAGAUAUAGUAAAUGCUUGUGAAUGCAAUGACGAAGAUAACGGAGACAGUUUUGUGAGCAAGCUUUAUUAAAGGCAAUAGAAAACUCAACUCGCACAAAUCAAUUGAGAGCGCUCAUAUAAUUUCUAGCCAUUCAUAUUUUCAAAUUUAUAUUCAUAUUUAUAUUGGAAAUUUGAUACCUCCGCUGCCACAUUUGCUGAGUUUUGUCAAGGAAAUAAAAGAUUUCACAAGGCAGUGCGCAGACAAUUCAGCAGGCAAACAACCAAGCCAGAAAAACGUUUAAAGGCAACUUGACACGCCGGCAAAUAAAAUCUAAACUUUUAAAGAAAACCCUCAUCUUUUCCUCCCCCGUCCAAUCCACUGCUGGGUCGAAGAAGCUAAAAACGAAUACGAAUACGAAAAGCAGUAAAAAAAAUGAUAAACGCUUCAACUGAUGACACAUUCAGUUUCACACACGAACGACUUUCAAUUUACAUUUGAUGUUUUAUGUUUCGCAGCAUUUACCAAACGAAAAGCGAAGAAAAACCCAAUGAAACGGCCGGGGGAUGGAGCGAAAAGAAAAAGAAUCACUCAUACGCACCCACGCACACGAGGAUUGGCGCCCGACGUUUGACGCCGCAUGGCAAAAGCGCUUAGAAAAGAAAUAGCAUAUAGUGAAAAAAAAAAACACAAAAAUACUCGGUGCCCAGACCAACCAGGACUUACCAAAAGGCAGCCGCUCGAAGGAGUGGCGGCAGGAGCAUUCUGCAGACGACAACGGUGCCAAGGAGACGACAGGCGGGAUCCAGGCGGCGUUGGCAGCAGGAAUUCCCAAAAAGAACGAACUUUGGCCAACUUGUAAUGAGCUGCACUCAAGAAUAUUUCCUACAUAUUGACAACUUCGUAGUGUAAACUUUUCAAUGGUCACUUAUGAGCUUUUCCCCGAAAACCGAUGCUUGACAAGUUGCCUCUUUUGAGAUCGGCCACAAAGGCACUUCAAAUGGAGGCUCACACAAAAUAGAAGAGCUAUACUCAGCAUGCGGUCAGCACAAAACAAGAAAGUAAAACAAAAGCACCCAGAAAGCAGUUUGAGCAGAAAUUGCCCAUAACGAGCACUUGACCAAGGACAAAAUGUGAGAUGCCAGAGUUCAGAGGAAUUUCACAUCUUUUGUAUACCUUUUUAUUUCGAGGGCAUGAGUAUCUGUAGCUCAAUAGCCGUUUUCUUGUGGCGAAUAAAUUUAAAGUGCCCCGAGAAAAAAGUGAAAAUAGCGUUGCACUUAAAGACCUCACAUUUGUCUCAAUGAAGGCCAUGUCACAUAA